GUUAAUCUACAACAACAAGAAUAUAAUAUAAGCGGACAACUCAUGAUGACAUGCACAACUAGACUAGGACUUUUAUCUAAUUGUGUCUCUCACUUUUUUAUCGAACUUCAUACCCCUCAAAUAUGAAAAUCGAGAAACAUACUAAUAUCUUUUAGUGGGGUUAAGAUUUCUAUUCCUUACAAACACCUUGUGGAUAGCACAACAAGCAUUCAUGAGUUUAAGAGUAAGAAACUCUUUACCAAUUGUAUCUUUACAAUUCUCAAUAUCUUUCAUUCUGACCUCU
rnacentral:lncRNA from 1 species